AUGGAGAGGCCAGUUACCAGGGGAAGCAAAAAGCUGCGGACCCAAGGAAAUUCAACUCUGCCAGUGCAGCAAGUGCAAUUAAGUGUCCUCUCUCAGACAUUACAAGAGUCUGGUCCUAGAACUGUGAAACCCUCAGAGUCACUCAGAUUGACCUGCACAGUUUCUGGGUUUGAGCUAACUAGCUAUGCUGUAAACUGGAUGAGGCAGCCUCCUGGGAAGGGACCGGAAUGGAUUGGAGAAGUAUACGGUAGUGGGGGUACAGCUUUUGCUGAUUCACUUAAAAACAGAGUUACAAUUACUAAAGACAAUGGGAAGAAGCAGGUCUACCUCCAAAUGACUGGGAUGGAAGUUAAAGACACUGCCAUGUAUUACUGUGCAAGAUACACAGUGACAGAUGAGAAUGAGGAAGUCAGUCAAUAA